GAAGAAACAAUAGAAGAAGAAGAAGAAACAAUAGAAGAAGAGACAAAGGCAGGACAGGAAGUCACAAUCAAAGGAGAGAAGAGGGGAGAAACAGAGGACAAACCAGAAAAAACACAAGAAGAGAUGCAGAGGAACAGAUGGGAAAAUAACGUUUCAAAGAAAUGAAAUAAACAAGAGAGGGUGUGAUUGGGAAUUAGACUCGGUCAUGAAGAGAGGAGAAGAAACACGAUGAUAUGUGAAGAGACAAGAAAAGAAUAAAGAACAAGGAGUGUGAAUCUUCUCAUGUAAAAGGUAAUUAUUACAUGUUCAUAUCAGAUUUCAUGCAGUAUUUAACUAUGACUCUAUGACUAUUGUUCGUGAUAUGUAAACAGCUGUCUUUCAUCUGUCUUUUAGAAAGGAAAGAAGAGACUGAAAGGACGGGGAGGGAUGGUGGGCAAUAUCAAGUGUGAACCCCCAUACAAAAGAGGAGAGGAAGUGGAGGAGGAGAGGAGGUGAAGAGGAGAGGGGAGGAUGCCAGAGGUCAACAGGAAGUCUCUCUGAUGCAAAUGAGGAGAGCGGAGGAAAGGAGAUGAGAAGGGAUGGAAAAAGCCUGAAAAUGCUCGACCGAACUUCAGAAGCUGCCAGGAGUGAAACUCAUCUCGCCACAGUGAUUUUUGACACAAUCAAACACUAAACAUGUGUUUCCAAUAAAAAGUCAAAACGA